rnacentral:rRNA from 1 species
AUAUUUUGAACCGCAUGGUUCAAAAGUGAAAGACGGUCUUGCUGUCACUUAUAGAUGGAUCCGCGCUGCAUUAGCUAGUUGGUAAGGUAACGGCUUACCAAGGCAACGAUGCAUAGCCGACCUGAGAGGGUGAUCGGCCACACUGGAACUGAGACACGGUCCAGACUCCUACGGGAGGCAGCAGUAGGGAAUCUUCCGCAAUGGGCGAAAGCCUGACGGAGCAACGCCGCGUGAGUGAUGAAGGUCUUCGGAUCGUAAAACUCUGUUAUUAGGGAAGAACAUAUGUGUA